GACGGAGGGUGCAAACGUUGUUCGGAAUCACUGGGCAUAAAGAGCACGUAGGCUGCGCGCUAAGUCAGGUGUGAAAUCCCCCGGCUCAACCGGGGAACUGCUCCUGAUACUGGCGUGCUCGAGGACGGUAGGGGUGAGUGGAACUCCAGGUGGAGCGGUGAAAUGCGUAGAUAUCUGGAGGAACACCGGUGGCGAAAGCGGCUCACUGGACCGUCUCUGACGCUGAGGUGCGAAAGCUAGGGUAGCAAACGGG
rnacentral:rRNA from 1 species